AGAGUUUGAUCCUGGCUCAGGACGAACGCUGGCGGCGUGCUUAACACAUGCAAGUCGAACGAUGAAGCCCUUCGGGGUGGAUUAGUGGCGAACGGGUGAGUAACACGUGGGCAACCUGCCCCCUACUCUGGGAUAACUCCGGGAAACCGGGGCUAAUACUGGAUACGACCUGGGACCGCAUGGUCUCGGGUGGAAAGUUU
rnacentral:rRNA from 1 species